rnacentral:rRNA from 1 species
UAACAGGCCUUCGGGCGCUGACGAGUGGCGGACGGGUGAGUAACACGUAGGAAACUACCUUUAAGUUUGGGACAACCUGGAGAAAUUUAGGCUAAUACCAGAUAAGCUCUACGGAGUAAAGAUUUAUCGCUUAGAGAUGUGCCUGCGGCUGAUUAGCUAGUUGGUAAGGUAAUGGCUUACCAAGGCGACGAUCAGUAGCCGACUUGAGAGAGUGUACGGUCACACCGGAACUGAGACACGGUCCGGACUCC